GGACAAAGAUAGAUAUUUAUGGAAGAAUAGAGAGGUCACGUGAGCAGAGUGGUAGAUCCGCAAAGAUGGCACGUGGACACUGAAAUAAAGAAAAUAUGGUAAAUAAAGGGAAGGGCAAGGGCAGAUUCGGAGAGGGAAAGAAACCCAUCUGCGAAGUCGGUGGGUGCUUACGUGGCAACAUCUGGUUGCGAAAUUGGGAGUAUAAAAAAUAUGAGGUAGAGAGAGAGAGAGCGCGAGAGAGAUAUAGAGAGAAAUAGGGAGGGAGAGAGAGAGAGAGAGAGGUAGGGUUGAUAUUUGAUUCAGUUACCAGCGGUGUCUAAUUCGCUUGGUGCAGGUCGGGAACCGGUUCGCAAUGGGAUUGGAUUUUGGAGCGAAAUGGCUCCCGCCUUGCAUCAACUGAAUCGGAGACCGCGGUGAGGAGGGUUUUCUCUCGGCUUCGAAUCCGUAUGCAUUGUUCUUCAUCUUCUUCUUCUUUUCUGAUUUCAGAUCUCAUCUCAGGUUCUAUUGAUUUCUGAUUUUUUUUAUCCUUAUUCGCAAGAUCUACCUACGUUUUUUAUUCGAUUAGACACUGCGAUUUCUGUUUUCUUGCAUUUACGGCGGUUUCAACCGUUGGCGGCCGUCGGAGUUUGUUUUUUUUUUUUUUUUGCUAUUCUCGGACUGAGCCUUUCAAUUCCUUUUGAAUAUGGAUUUAUGACUUUCUUUGGUUUUGGUAAUUGAUGAGCUGACUGAGAAGAAUCUUUUCUUUGUGAACCGAAUCUAUUUGGAUCCAUUUCCACCAUUCAUUUAUUUCAGCUUCUCACUCGUACUUUAUCAACCUAAAUUUCAAACAGGACAUUUUUUUUUGGGAAAAAUAAAAAUGAAACAUUUAGUAGUUUUAGCUAAAUUAGGUGAAUCGAUUAUUUGGGUAACAUUUCUUCAUAUUGGUUCUUCUUAUGGUAUAUAGGAGGGUUGAUAAAUUAGUUAGUUUUUUGUGGGGUUCUUCGCCUAUUUUUUUUUAUACAACUCGCCAAGUUCAUAUCAUAUCACACACAGAGACUGAUUCAGUCAAAAACAAAUCCAAAUGAUUGAUUCCACUCUUGCUGCUCAUUCCCACUCCGAAAAAGAAAAAAUGCUUUUUUAAAGCAAUGAGCCAGGGAAUAAUAUGAAUAGCAUCAGAAUAGUAGCUCUGAUUUUAUGAAUUUUGAUGUUUGUAUUUAUUUAUUUAUUUUUCUUUUUUGUUUCUCAUUGCUUUUGAGAUUUCAAGUUUAUAAUAGAAACCUUGUCAGAAAUUUAGUUUAAUAUAUAUAUAUAUAUAUGUAUAUAAAAUAUUCAAUAUUUAUAUGUGGAGCAGGACUGAAAUUGUGCUCUUUUUUUGGGUUUUAAUUUUAUAGUCUUCUGGGUGACUUGUCCAAAUUAUCAUGAUGUGUAGAUGGUCCAAGUUUCCUAUUUCUUGUUGUACAAUACAGCCAGCCAAUAAGCCUCAUUGUCUUGAAUCAGCUAUCAUUACAACAUGUGCCUUUGAAAAAGAAAAAAGAAAAAAAGCUACAUUAUCUAUGUUAAAGUCAAACAUGUCGACCAAGACCAGCAGCAGUAAAGAAAACAACACCUAUAAUUGGAAUUUGUUCUUUCAAUCUCUCUUUUUUUUCUACCAAGAAUGAGAAGAAAAAAAUACCCACUUCUGCCGAACCCAAUGCAUUAUCAAUAUCCCAAGAAUGGACUGUGGAGUGGAGUGAGAACGAGUUGACAAUUGACAGAGUGGGAAUUCCAACUCAACAAAUGCUUCCAUUCUUCUAAGCCACCAUAUGUCCAUACAUACCAUGAUCAAAAUCUAUAAAUGGGACACAAGCUUUUCAUGUUGUUUGAAAAAACUAAAAGCAUCUCCUUCUGCACAUGUGUGUACUGUUUUAAUUCCUAGUUUAAAAACAUAUAUAUAUAUAUAUAUAUAUAUGUGUGUGAAAAGAAGAGAAUAUGUUAGCAUUUGUUUAAAAUAUAGGUGCUUGUAAGAACCCAUAUUCGAUGCAAAUGCUAUUAUCAAUGCUUCUUUUGCUU